CGUGCAGGCGGUUUGGUAAGUUGGAUGUGAAAGCUCCGGGCUUAACCCGGAGAUGUCGUUCAAAACUGCCAGACUAGAGGACAGUAGAGGGAGGUGGAAUUCCGGGUGUAGUGGUGAAAUGCUUAGAUAUCCGGAGGAACACCAGUGGCGAAAGCGGCCUCCUGGGCUGUUCCUGACGCUAAGACGUGAAAGCUAGGGUAGCAAACG
rnacentral:rRNA from 1 species